GACAAGAAAGAGCGGGCUCCAUCUCCAGGCCUCCCACUUCACCCUGGGACAUUAUGGUCGCUGGUCAGACCUCAUGACUCACUUGGACUCUUGAGCCACCUCUGGGGGUGGAGUCUCUCUCCUGGCAUCUGGACCCUUGGUGCUAUCGACGAAGCUUGGCUGGCGCUCUUAGCUGCUAUGUGCAAGACGUGUGUCCCAGGGAAAGCCCCUCUCUCUCUGCAGAGGUCAAGUGAAAGCCACGGCCGCAGCCAACAGAGUUCAAAAUGCAGGCUUGGAAAGUCCAGGGGGCUCUGUGGAGGAGAUUAGUCCUGAGAGACUGACACCAGAGCCACCUGACGAAUGUGGGUGCUCAGAGCCUUGGACUCGAUGACCUACCUCUCCUGCCUCCCACCUGACUCCUGAAGUAGGGGAGUGUAUUAACAGUCACAGGCCUCAGUUUACCUGCUUUCAGCCUCUGCCCUUCCCGAGAGGGUUGAAGCUGACUUGCUGCAUCGCAGUUUUGUCCUUUAGUUCAUCAGCUCUGGAACUUUCCACUUCUGGUGUUUUUGGUUUCCAAACAGAGGAUUGAGGACGUAUGAGAGCAAUGUUUAGAGUGCCACCUCCUGAGUCCUGGUUCCUGCGGCUCCGUCGAAUCUGCAGUGAAGGCCUUUGGGAAGCGUGGGUUAUGUGGGUCCAGGGGUCCCAUCCUCCCGUGGAGGCCCUUGACCUGAGGAUCACUAACUCACACCCCACCGACUUCCGGCCCCCAACAAGGGCAGUGUUCCUCUUGCUCCAUUCUGCUCUGAAGUCCCCCAAACCGCUUCCUGGGGCUGCUUAGUGAAAUACAAGGCUCAUCUCUGAGGACCUCUACAGGGCUGGUGAGUUGAGCCAGGAGUUCAAA
rnacentral:lncRNA from 1 species